rnacentral:tRNA from 1 species
GAAGUGUCAUUUGAAAGCUGCUAACUUUCAUUAGAGUAGUUAAUUUUCUAUUCACAUUUCU